GUAGGAGAGGCCCCUUAGGAGCCCCAGCCAAAAAGAGUGCCUCGUCUACCUCCAACCCCCAGCUCCGUAGGGUCUUCAGAACGCGGGCCCCCGCGCUGGCAGCACUUCGAGCUGUGACCAGGGUUUUCAUCAAAGUUGGACCAGGCCAUUUGAGUGUGUCUCUGGAGAAGAGUGCUCCAGGAACAUGCCAGUCUGAAUCUACCCAUGACUGAACAAAUUUCUAGCGCUCCGACAUGCCGAGGGCGUGACUCUCCCCCAUAAAACACACACCGUAUGAUGCACAACUUCCCUUUCCUGCCGACACACAGCUGCGUGUCUGAGGCUUGGCGCUCUGCUCUCGUAAAUCAAGGCUUUCUGCAGCAGCAGGAUCCAAUCAGACCCAGGUGGGGGCCCAGGAGGCAGCAUGGGGGCCAGGCCUGGGGAAUACAAGCUCUAUAGUGGACAUCAGAAGAGACUAAAGGCCCUGUACAGGAGAAAGUGCAGUGGACCUGAGCUGGAACCCUGAGGGAUGCCAACACACUGGAAGACCUUGGGGAAGAUCCAUCACUUCAGUGCUAACCUCAGGUUUCUCUUUCACUUUUUCAUACACACAAACACACCCAUUUUUGUAUUCUUUGUUUCUCAGUGAUGUUGCCCAUACAUACUUCUUUCAACAACUUAUCCCCCAAACACACAAAGACAUACCCACAACCCUCUGAUGGUGUCUCCUCAAAGAAGAGAGUUUUCAAGGGAGGGGUGAAGGAGGGAUGUUGAUGAAAAGUGGCACAGGCCCUUGGAAUGCGAUCAGGCCUCCACAUCUGCAGGAAAGACGAAACCGGCCUCCCAAUUUUACAAUGAUGAUGUCAGCCUGCCUACAUGACAGUGUGUGGCUGAGGUGCCAAGUUUCUCCUCUUUUGCUUUGUUUUUUUUUUUCUUUUGUCUUUUCUGUUCUCUGUGCUGUUUUUUUUAACCAAAUCCCCCUUCCUCUCUCUUUAUACACACACACACAGAUAUUCAUAUACAUACAUACAUACAUACACACUGUUUAUUUAUUUAUUUUAUUCUUCCUUCUAGCAUGUAAUUUACAUGGGAUAGUAUUAACCAUGCUUUCAUAUGGGGGGAACUAAGAGCUGGUAAUUUCUAAUUUCGAAAAGGAUUACUCAUAUACUAUGUUUUUGGAGUUGAAUCAGCUCAUCUUUAUGAUUAGCAGCACUUCUGACCUCAAUGUCUUGACUGAAACAGAACCACACAGGUGCAAUAUGGAUCACUUUGUUUUUCUGUACUCAGACAUGGACAAUUUAAAUGGCUGUA